AUUGAACGCUGGCGGAAUGCUUUACACAUGCAAGUCGAGCGGCAGCACGGGGGCAACCCUGGUGGCGAGCGGCGAACGGGUGAGUAAUACAUCGGAACAUGCCCAGUCGUGGGGGAUAACACUUCGAAAGAAGUGCUAAUACCGCAUACGUCCUGAGGGGGAAAGCGGGGGAUCGCAAGACCUCGCGCGAUUGGAGUGGCCGAUGUCAGAUUAGCUAGUUGGUGGGGUAAAGGCCUACCAAGGCAACGAUCUGUAGCUGGUCUGAGAGGAUGAUCAGCCAAACUGGGACUUAGAAACGGCCCCGACUCCUACGGGAGGCAGGCGUGGGGGAAUUUGGACAAUGGGGGGCACCCUGAUCCAGCCAAUCCGCGGGAGUGAAGAAGGGCUUCGGGUUGUAAAGCUCUUUCGGCAGGGACGAAACGGUGGGCUCUAAAAUAGGUUGCUAAUGAAGGUACCUGAAGAAGAAGCACCGGCUAACUACGUG
rnacentral:rRNA from 1 species